rfam:Schistosoma haematobium scaffold305_10, whole genome shotgun sequence.
AUCCAAAUGAAGAGUCUCACCUAGGACGAAACGUGCGUCCUGGAU